rnacentral:rRNA from 1 species
UUUCCCUCAGGAUAGCUGGCACUCGCUUGAGCGAGUCUCAUCUGGUAAAGCGAAUGAUUAGAGGCCUUGGGGCCGAAACGACCUCAACCUAUUCUCAAACUUUAAAUGGGUGAGAUCUCUGGCUUGCUUGAACGUUGAAGCCACGAGAGCAUUUUUAACAUGCGAUGGAUCAGAGUGCCAAGUGGGCCAAUUUUGGUAAGCAGAACUGGCGCUGUGGGA